rnacentral:rRNA from 1 species
AUUGAACGCUGGCGGCAUGCUUUACACAUGCAAGUCGAACGGUAACAGGCCGCAAGGUGCUGACGAGUGGCGAACGGGUGAGUAAUGCAUCGGAACGUGCCCAGUCGUGGGGGAUAACGCAGCGAAAGUUGCGCUAAUACCGCAUACGAUCUAUGGAUGAAAGCGGGGGACCGUAAGGCCUCGCGCGAUUGGAGCGGCCGAUGUCAGAUUAGGUAGUUGGUGGGGUAAAGGCUGACCAAGCCGACGAUCUGUAGCUGGUCUGAGAGGACGACCCGCCACACUGGUACCGUGACACGGCCCAGACUCCUACGGGAGGCAGCAGUGGGAAAUUUUGGACAAUGGGCGCAAGCCUGAUCCAGCAAUGCCGCGUGCAGGAAGAAGGCCUUCGGGUUGUAAACUGCUUUUGAACGGAACGAAACGGUCCUGGUUAAUACCCGGGGCUAAUGACGGUACCGUAAGAAUAAGCACCGGCUAACUACGUGCCAGCAGCCGCGGUAACAC